CCUACGGGGCGCAGCAGUGGGGAAUAUUGGACAAUGGGCGAAAGCCUGAUCCAGCCAUGCCGCGUGUGUGAAGAAGGCCUUCGGGUUGUAAAGCACUUUCAGUGGGGAAGAAAGCCUUGGGGCUAAUACCCUCGAGGAAGGACAUCACCCACAGAAGAAGCACCGGCUAACUCCGUGCCAGCAGCCGCGGUAAUACGGAGGGUGCGAGCGUUAAUCGGAAUUACUGGGGGUAAAGCGCGCGUAGGCGGUCUGAUAAGCCGGUUGUGAAAGCCCCGGGCUCAACCUGGGAACGGCAUCCGGAACUGUCAGGCUAGAGUGCAGGAGAGGAAGGUAGAAUUCCCGGUGUAGCGGUGAAAUGCGUAGAGAUCGGGAGGAAUACCAGUGGCGAAGGCGGCCUUCUGGACUGACACUGACGCUGAGGUGCGAAAGCGUGGGUAGCAAACAGGAUUAGAUACCCGUGUAGUC
rnacentral:rRNA from 1 species